rnacentral:rRNA from 1 species
UGCCUACGGGAGGCAGCAGUGGGGGAUAUUGCACAAUGGGGGGAACCCUGAUGCAGCGACGCCGCGUGGGUGAAGGAGCGUUUCGGCGCGUAAAGCCCUAUCGGCAGGGAAGAAGAUGACGGUACCUGACCAAGAAGCCACGGCUAACUACGGGCCAGCAGCCGCGGUAAUACGUAGGUGGCAAGCGUUGUCCGGAUUUACUGGGGGUAAAGGGCGGGCAGCCGGGAAGACAAGUCAGAUGUGAAAUCCCGCGGCUCAACCGCGGAACUGCAUUUGAAACUGUUUUUCUUGAGUACCGGAGAGGG